GACGAACCGAGCGAACGUUAUUCGGAAUCACUGGGCUUAAAGGGCGCGUAGGCGGGCGAUCAAGUCAGGGGUGAAAGCCCCCAGCUCAACUGGGGAAGUGCCUCUGAUACUGGUUGUCUCGAGGGAGGUAGGGGCGUGCGGAACUUCCGGUGGAGCGGUGAAAUGCGUAGAUAUCGGAAGGAACACCGGUGGCGAAAGCGGCGCGCUGGACCUCUUCUGACGCUGAGGCGCGAAAGCCAGGGGAGCAAACAGG
rnacentral:rRNA from 1 species